rnacentral:rRNA from 1 species
GACGAACGCUGGCGGCGAGCUUAACACAUGCAAGUCGAGCGGUAAGGCCCUUUCGGGGGUACGACGAGCGGCGAACGGGUGAGUAACACGUGGGUGACCUGCCCUUAGCUCUGGGAUAAGCCUGGGAAACUGGGUCUAAUACCGGAUAUGACUCCAUAACGCAUGUUGUGGGGUGGAAAGCCUUGUGCGGCUAGGGAUGGGCCCGCGGCCUAUCAGCUUGUUGGGUGGGGUGAUGGCCACCAAGGCGACGACGGGUAGCCGGCCUGAGAGGGCGACCGGCCACACUGGGACUGAGACACGGCCCAGACUCCUACGGGAGGGCAGCAGUGGGGAAUCUUGCGCAAUGGGCGAAAGCCUGACGCAGCGACGCUGCGUGGGGA